ensembl:lncRNA novel transcript
GAGGCCACAUGUCCUCCCUGUGGCUGCCUGGUCAUUCCCCUUCACCUAGCAGCUGUCUUGCUCCCAUGUAGAACAGCAGGGCCCAGCGGCCACCUGCACCUCGCCAUUUCCUCCAGCUCUGUGCUAGAAAUGAUGCAAGCAGGAAAACCAUUUGCUUGUGGACCUACUAUGUGUCAGGCACCUGCUGAACAGUAGCAUUUGAUGCUCUCGACGGCCUUAACAGGUCGGCACUGAUCUGUUGAUGCUGCAGUUGAGGAGCUUUAGCUUAGAGAGGUUAAAUAGCAUCCUCAAAGUCACCCAGGUCAUGCUCUGCUUCUGGAGAGGCUGGGAUGCAGCAUGGGAGUGUGACCUCCUGAGCACGGACUGCACGGGCCGCCUCGCAGCCGGCAUGGUGAGGUGAGAUGAGUUGAGGGUUGCUUGGCCUUGCCUCCACCAUGCCUGACACUGGCGCUCUGCUGGGAGGAAAAAGCUUGCUCUGUUGCUGGCUGUGUGGAACAGAGAGGGAAGUGGCAGACAGUCUGGGCCCAGCACUUGGGUAUCGUGCUCUAGCCAUGCGACUCAUCUCUCCAGUUCAGACCUGCCCCUGGAAAAAAGAGCCCAGACCUCAUCAUGAAUGCUUUCCUAGGAGAAAAUGAACAGCUGGACAAUGCUCCUGGUCAGUAGGCCUGAAGGAUGCUGGGAUGCAGCCCUCAAGAUGGAACAGCCAGGAUGCCAAGUAUCCCUCUUGCCCAGAUCCUAAGGCACUUUUUCUACUGAUCCAUAUUGGCCUCAGGAGAUGUCUCAACACAGCACCCCAGCCAAUGGAGCUGCCACAUAAGAUGAACUCUUGAUCAUCUCUAAACUAGAGAGUUAAACUCAACACUAGCAAACGACUUUGGGUUUAUGCAUAUGUCAUGUUUUCUCUGGCAACUGCACAGAAUCAUCUCUAAAUAUCACAUCUAUGGUUGGCAGGAGUGGCAUGUAUAAUACAAAAUGUCUGGUGGCCCUACUGUCACAAAACCUGUAUAAAAGUAAAUUCACAAAUGGCUUUUUAGAACUGAUGACAAAAAGUUACUCGUUAUCACUUUUCUAAUUAAUUUCCUAAAAGGGCAAUUUGAAAUCAUACUGGGAUUCUCACAAUUUUGGUUGACAGUCAAGUAAAUUGCAGCUACUUAUCAAGCACUUUUGAAUGAAUACAUGAAGAAUGAAUAAAAUGAAAGCUCUCCUGUUGCCCUCA